rnacentral:rRNA from 1 species
GAUGAACGCUGGCGGCGUGCCUAAUACAUGCAAGUCGAGCGAACAUAUAAGGAGCUUGCUCCUUUGACGUUAGCGGCGGACGGGUGAGUUACACGUGGAUAACCUACCUAUAAGACUGUGAUAACUUCGGGAAACCGUAGCUAAUACCGGAUAACAUAUUGAACCGCAUGGUUCAAUAGUGAAAGGCGGCUUUGCUGUCACUUAUAGAUGGAUCCGCGCCGUAUUAGCUAGUUGGUAAGGUAACGGCUUACCAAGGCAACGAUACGUAGCCGACCUGAGAGGGUGAUCGGCCACACUGGAACUGAGACACGGUCCAGACUCCUACGGGAGGCAGCAGUAGGGAAUCUUCCGCAAUGGGCGAAAGCCUGACGGAGCAACGCCGCGUGAGUGAUGAAGGUCUUCGGAUCGUAAAACUCUGUUAUCAGGGAAGAACAAAUGUGUAAGUAACUGUGCACAUCUUGACGGUACCUGAUCAGAAAGCCACGGCUAACUACGUG